rnacentral:rRNA from 1 species
AGCAGCCGCGGUAAUUCCAGCUCCAAUAGCGUAUAUUAAAGUUGCUGCAGUUAAAAAGCUCGUAGUUGAAUUUCGGGACUAAUAUGUCGGUCGUGCCUCGGUACGUACUGGCUUAUUGGUUUCUCCUUUCUGAAGAACCAUGAUGUCAUUUAUUUGGUGUCGUGGGGAAUCAGGACUGUUACUUUGAAAAAUUAGAGUGUUUAAAGCAGGCUCACGCUUGAAUACAUUAGCAUGGAAUAAUGAAAUAGGACGUUUGAUUCUAUUUUGUUGGUUUCUAGGAUCGACGUAAUGAUUAAUAGGGAUAGUUGGGGGCAUUAGUAUUCAAUUGUCAGAGGUGAAAUUCUUGGAUUUAUUGAAGACUAACUACUGCGAAAGCAUUUGCCAAGGAUGUUUUCAUUAAUACAAGAACGAAAGUUAGGGGAUCGAAGACGAUCAGAUACCGUCGUAGUCUUAACCAUAAACUAUAGCCGAC